GAAGUAUAUGAAAUAAGAAACCCUAAACUUGAGAGUGUUGUCUCCUCUCAGCUAUACAAUGGCCACCCCUGCAAAGGGGAUCUCCUUGGAACUACAUGUUACUGGUUUGAUGGAUGAAGACAUAUUAGCAACUGACUAAAUCCAUCAGUGGGAUGUCCAUAAUAUUGUCAUCAUUAUAUACUUUAGUUGUCUUAGGUUGGUACUAACUUUCUUCCAUGUUUCUGUUUUUUUUUUUUUUUUUUCUGCUAUGAUGGACUUACAGCAACUAUGCCUUUGCCAGAAUGUGACAAGAGAAACCUUGGAAAUGAGAAAGAUUGACACAUGUGUUUAUCUCCUGUUGCCCUUCCAGCAACAAACAAUUUCAUUAAAACAGCAAAACAAAGAGCAUUUUGAUGUGGACUUGGCAAUGAAUAGGGUUCCUGUGCUAAUUUCCUCUUGCUCUGUGUAAUUAGUCAGCAUUUUAAAUGAGGUAACAGGAUAUAAUUGUCUACUGCCCAUUGCAGCCCAUUUGUUUAUGACACAAUCCCAGGCCUC
rnacentral:lncRNA from 1 species